GACGAACGCUGGCGGCGUGCUUAACACAUGCAAGUCGAACGGAAAGGCCCUGCUUUUGUGGGGUGCUCGAGUGGCGAACGGGUGAGUAACACGUGAGUAACCUGCCCUUGACUUUGGGAUAACUUCAGGAAACUGGGGCUAAUACCGGAUAGGAGCUCCUGCUGCAUGGUGGGGGUUGGAAAGUUUCGGCGGUUGGGGAUGGACUCGCGGCUUAUCAGCUUGUUGGUGGGGUAGUGGCUUACCAAGGCUUUGACGGGUAGCCGGCCUGAGAGGGUGACCGGCCACAUUGGGACUGAGAUACGGCACAGACUCCUACGGGAGGCAGCAGUGGGGAAUAUUGCACAAUGGGCGGAAGCCUGAUGCAGCAACGCCGCGUGCGGGAUGACGGCCUUCGGGUUGUAAACCGCUUUCGGCUGUGACGAAGCGUGAGUGACGGUAAUGGGUAGAGAAGCACCGGCUAACUACGUG
rnacentral:rRNA from 1 species